CUCCGACUCCUCGCAUGGGGUGUCGGGAAAGAUUAUAUCGGUAUGGGAUGGGGUCGCGUCCUAUCAGGUAGUCGGCGGGGUAACGGCCCACCGAGCCUACGACGGGUAGCCGGCCUGAGAGGGCGACCGGCCACAUUGGGACUGAGAUACGGCCCAGACUCCUACGGGAGGCAGCAGUGGGGAAUAUUGCACAAUGGGCGCAAGCCUGAUGCAGCGACGCCGCGUGCGGGAUGACGGCCUUCGGGUUGUAAACCGCUUUUGAUCGGGAGCAAGCCUUCGGGUGAGUGUACCUUUCGAAUAAGCACCGGCUAACUACGUGCCAGCAGCCGCGGUAAUACGUAGGGUGCAAGCGUUAUCCGGAAUUAUUGGGCGUAAAGGGCUCGUAGGCGGUUCGUCGCGUCCGGUGUGAAAGUCCAUCGCUUAACGGUGGAUCUGCGCCGGGUACGGGCGGG
rnacentral:rRNA from 1 species